rnacentral:rRNA from 1 species
GACGAACGCUGGCGGCGUGCCUAACACAUGCAAGUCGAGCGGGGACAUCAAGUAGCAAUAUGAGAUGUUCUAGCGGCGGACGGGUGAGUAACGCGUGAGCAACCUGUCCCAAACAGGGGGAUAACGAACCGAAAGGUUCACUAAUACCGCAUAAGACCACGAGGUCACAUGGCUUUGAGGUCAAAGGAGAAAUCCGGUUUGGGGUGGGCUCGCGUCUGAUUAGCUAGUUGGUGGGGUAAAGGCUCACCAAGCCAACGAUCUGUAGCUGGUCUGAGAGGACGACCAGCCACACUGGAACUGAGACACGGUCCAGACUCCUACGGGAGGCAGCAGUGGGGAAUUUUGGACAAUGGGCGCAAGCCUGAUCCAGCCAUUCCGCGUGCAGGAUGAAGGCCUUCGGGUUGUAAACUGCUUUUGUACGGUAACGAAACGGCGAGCUCUAAUACAGUUUGCUAAUGACGGUACCGUAAGAAUAAGCACCGGCUAACUACGUGCCAGCAGCCGG